rnacentral:rRNA from 1 species
CCUACGGGAGGCAGCAGUGGGGAAUAUUGGGCAAUGGGCGCAAGCCUGACCCAGCAACGCCGCGUGCAGGAAGAAGGCUUUCGGGUUGUAAACUUCUUUUAAGAGGGAAGAGCAGAAGACGGUACCUCUUGAAUAAGCCACGGCGAACUACGUGCCAGCAGCCGCGGUAAUACGGAGGUGGCAAGCGUUGUCCGGAUUUACUGGGUGUAAAGGGCGUGUAGCCGGGCUGACAAGUCAGAUGUGAAAUUCCGGGGCUCAACCCCGGAACUGCAUUUGAAACUGUUGGUCUUGAGUAUAGGAGAGGCAGGCGGAAUGCCUGGUGUAGCGGUGAAAUGCGUAGAUAUUAGGAGGAACACCAGGGGCGAAGGCGGCCUGCUGGACGACAACUGACGGUGAGGCGCGAAAGCGUGGGGAGCAAACAGGAUUAGAAACCCCUGUAGUC